rnacentral:rRNA from 1 species
CAGCCGCCGCGGUAAUACGAAGGGUGCAAGCGUUAAUCGGAAUGACUGGGCGUAAAGGGCGCGUAGGCGGCGAUCAAAGUCAGGCGUGAAAUUCCUGGGCUCAACCUGGGGGCUGCGCUUGAUACUUGGUUGCUUGAGUGGGGAAGAGGGUCGUGGAAUUCCCAGUGUAGAGGUGAAAUUCGUAGAUAUUGGGAAGAACACCGGUGGCGAAGGCGGCGACCUGGUCCUUGACUGACGCUGAGGCGCGAAAGCGUGGGGAGCAAACAGGAUUAGAGACCCCGGUAGUCCCUGUCUCUUAUAC